rnacentral:misc_RNA from 1 species
AAGUCGUAACAAGGUUUCCGUAGGUGAACCUGCGGAAGGAUCAUUAAUGUGUUUGGGCCUCACGGCUCUUCAUUCCGACGCUGUGCGCCUUCGGGCUGCACGCUGAGGGAGCAUAUAUCCACCCCUGUGCACACACACGGUGGCGAGCUGGGUAACGGCUCGCCGCUGAUCUUUACACACGUCUAAAAGUCAUUGUAUGUUUAUUUGAGAUAAAAACACAACUUUCAGCAACGGAUCUCUUGGCUCUC